rnacentral:rRNA from 1 species
AUUGAACGCUGGCGGCAGGCCUAACACAUGCAAGUCGAGCGAGCGGCGGACGGGUGAGUACUGUAUGGGGACUGCCCGAUAGAGGGGGAUAACUACUGGAAACGGUAGCUAAUACCGCAUACUAUCGGAUAACCCAUAUGGGAUUAGCUAGUAGGUGAGGUAAUGGCUCACCUAGGCGACGAUCCCUAGCUGGUCUGAGAGGCUGAUCAGCCACACUGGCACCGAGACACGGCCCAGACUCCGGGGGAGGCACAAGUGGGAAAGAUUGCGCAAUGGGAGAAAGCCGAAAGCAGCCAUGCCGCGUGAGUGAAGACGGCCCUAGGGCUGUAAAGUACUUUCAGUCGGGAGGCGUUACCGACAGAAGAAGCACCGGCUAAACCCGUGCCAACAGCCGCGGUAAUUC